AUCCGCAUGGAGCAGGGGCCUUCGCAUGUCAGCCCAGGAUAACACCUGGCGCAUGACAGGUCCAUGAUACAGCAUUCCAGGUACAAUAAUAUUCAUCAAAUACAUGUGUAUAUGAUUAGAUCAUUGAUGAAUACAAUUAUCUGGCAUAGCCCUAAGGCUAUACGGAUGACAACGGAAGUCUAUUUAAAUGGCGGCGGAAGUCUUGGUUUGGCAGUAUAAUAACUCUGGAUGGGCUCCAUAACUCACAGGACUGGCAAGAUUACGACCUAGCGCGACGGAACAAGCGAACAAUCUGGGCACGACCUACAAAACUGGCAUCACAGGCCAGGUCAGUACAUUGAAUGUACUUGCAAGACAACCAAAUACAUAGCAUCCAAACAAACAGAUGACAAAGCAAAUGCAACAGUCUACUUCAACACAACUUCUAAGCAUGGCAUGAUAUUAGCUAGAAUCAUAAAUCAAAUUUAGCAUGAACAACAUCAUAGCAUCUACUAUCAUGGCAUAUCAAAAUUUACUUCUAACAUAACAACAGCAAAGCAUAGCAUAUCAAAACAUGGCAUGGAAUCAUGAAACUAUGCUGAAAAUAAACUACCAGUUACCUCCCGUGAAGACAUGUUGUAUUAACCUUAUGCAACAAUCACUUACUCUGCCAUGGCUCCUCGGAGCACACGCAUGACUUACCAAGACCUCGUCUCGGGGUCAUAUCAACACAUCAUCGUGACUUCUCAUGAUAUUCCCAUAGUCCAAGUCACCAUAUUAUUUAUCACAUCUUAGUUAUCACGCAAGUUAUUAGCAGGUUUAUCCUCCAUUUCGACAAAGACCUGAUAGCGUGACCUACUACGAACUUGUGCCCAUGACCGAGGGCGCGGCUAUCGAUAGAUUGAAUACACUCUGCAGAGGUAGCGCACUUUACCCACACCACGGAACCCAUGGCCUCGCACUCCCAUACGUGGGACCACGGCGUUCGGACAAAACCGACCUACUGCCACGACACUCUCCCGGCCACUCCGACCAACACCCCCUUGGGGUUCAGUCCUGGGUGGCCCGGUGUCUACCAAAGACACCAACGGCCACCGUCGUGGCAAAACGGUCCCAAACGGGGACAAGGUACCAUAAAAACAAAAACGAGCACACAAGGUUAUGUCUGCCUACAUGAUCAGGGUAGCGUGUGCCCAUAACCUUCCCUCGCGGGAGGCACCGGCGAGAGGCAUGACAAUAUACCCAGCUUGGACCUCCCCAGAAGGUAAAUGUGGUUGCACUAGAGAAAGCUCGAUUUGGGUGGCACUAUGACAUCCCAGUGAUGACGGAGGAGGUUUGUUAUUAAGUCAUAUUAUUAACUUCUCCAUCAUCAAUCAUCAUGCGAGCAUUAUUAACAUGAAUGCAACAACUAACAUGCAACAUACCGAUGCAGUAACAAAACAUCAAGCAUUUCAAAAGAACAAUGAUAGCAUGCGAAACAUGGCAAUACCAAGUACUAGCAAACUUACCAGUGCAAAAGAAUUAUCAUAACAUCGAUACUACUAACAUGAAACUAAACUAGACAGAGGAAUGAUAAUAUUAGUAACAACAUCAAACUAACAUGUCAACUUAUUUCAUGAAAACACAAGCAUGCAAGACAGAAAACAAAAUCAUAUAGCACGAAGAAAUAACAGCAGACGGAACAAACAAGAAGCUACUACAACUAAACGCACACACGAGGUGCAAGCAAAGUCAACAUGCAAGUUCGGGGCUCAUGAUAAGAGGUUGGCUUGCCUGGGGUCGACAAAUACUUCGGGAAGAAGUGUGAAACGAUCACGCAAAGAGUUGCCGGAAAUAGUUCUCUCUCAGAGGGGGCUGUUUACGGGCAAGGGCAAAUUGGUCAUUUUCACUAUGUGAAAAUAUUAUGAAAAUGAUACCAACGGAAAGAGCUCGACGAACAGAGAACAUGAGCAUUGGAAUCACUUCAAUCGGAGUUACGGUUGUCGAGAUACGAAGGGUUGAAGCUCAGUGACCUAUCGGUGAAUUUUUUUCAGCAAACACGCCCGUGGAGGAAAAACGGAACGCGCCUUUGGACCGAAUACAUUUUCUACAAAGAGAAACGUAUUUUCAGCCGAAGUGCAAAGCGAAUACGCUUUCUAGAGUGGGAAACACACUCACUGGAAUACGCCUCUAGCGCGAGGAAACGGCUUCGCGGCGGAGCGCCGCCACUCAUCCACGCUGGCAGGACCGGGUCAACGCGGCAGCGGCGGGGCCGGG
rnacentral:lncRNA from 1 species